rnacentral:rRNA from 1 species
GACGAACGCUGGCGGCGUGCCUAAUACAUGCAAGUCGAGCGCGGGAAGCGGACAGAACUCUUCGGAGGGACGUUCGUGGAACGAGCGGCGGACGGGUGAGUAACACGUAGGCAACCUGCCUGUAAGACUGGGAUAACUCGCGGAAACGCGAGCUAAUACCGGAUAAUACUUAUCAUCUCCUGAUGGUAAGUUGAAAGGCGGCUUUUGCUGUCACUUACAGAUGGGCAUGCGGCGCAUUAGCUAGUUGGUGGGGUAACGGCUCACCAAGGCGACGAUGCGUAGCCGACCUGAGAGGGUGAUCGGCCACACUGGGACUGAGACACGGCCCAGACUCCUACGGGAGGCAGCAGUAGGGAAUCUUCCGCAAUGGACGAAAGUCUGACGGAGCAACGCCGCGUGAGUGAUGAAGGUUUUCGGAUCGUAAAACUCUGUUGUCGGGGGAGAACAAGUAUGAUAGUAACUGAUCGUACCUUGACGGUACCCGACCAGAAAGCCACGGCUAACUACGUGCCAGCAGCCGCAGUAA